GACGAACGCUGGCGGCGUGCCUAAUACAUGCAAGUCGAACGCAGUGGGGACGGGUGAGUAACACGUGGGUAACCUCCCAUCAGAGGGGAUAACACUUGGAAACAGGUGCUAACCCGCUACUGAUGGAUGGACCCGCGGUGCAUUCGCUAGGUGGUGAGGUAACGGCUCACCAAGGCCACGAUGCAUAGCCGAGCGGAGAGGGUGAUCGGCCACACUGGAACUGAGACACGGCCCAGACUCCUACGGGAGGCAGCAGUAGGGAAUAUUCGGCAAUGGACGAAAGUCUGACCGAGCAACGCCGCGUGAGUGAAGAAGGUCUUCGGAUCGUAAAACACUGUUGUUAGAGAAGCGGUAUCUAACCAGAAAGCAACGGCUAACUACGUGCCAGCAGCCGCGGUAAUAC
rnacentral:rRNA from 1 species